rnacentral:SRP_RNA from 1 species
GCCGAGGUGGUGUGUGCUUGUAGUCCCAGCUACUUGGGAGGCUGAGGCUGGAGGAUCGCUUGAGUCCAGGAGUUCUGGGCUGUAGUGUGCUGUGCCGAUAGGGUGUCCCCACUAAGUUUGGCAUCAAUAUGGUGACCUCCUUGGAGGGGGAGACCACCAGGUUGCCUAAGGAGGGGUGAACCAGCCAAGGUCAGAAACAGAGCAGGUCAAAACUCCCGUGUUGAUCAGUAGUGGGAUCACGCCUGUGAAUAGCCACUGCACUCCAGCCUGGGCAACAUAGUGAGACCCUGUCAUU